GACGAACGCUGGCGGCGUGCUUAACACAUGCAAGUCGAACGGAAAGGCCCUGCUUUUGUGGGGUGCUCGAGUGGCGAACGGGUGAGUAACACGUGAGUAACCUGCCCUUGACUUUGGGAUAACUUCAGGAAACUGGGGCUAAUAUCGGAUAGGAGCUCCUGCUGCAUGGUGGUGGUUGGUAAGAUUCGGCGGUUCGGGAUCGACUCGCGGGUUAUCAGCUUGUUUGUGGGGUUGUGGCUUACCAAGGCUUUGACGGGUAGCCGGCCUGAGAGGGUGACCGGCCACAUUGGGACUGAGAUACGGACCAGACUGCUACGGGAGGCAGCAGGGGGGAAUAUUGCACAAUGGGCGGAAGCCUGAUGCAGCAACGCCGCGUGCGGGAUGACGGCCUUCGGGUUGUAAACCGCUUUGGCCUGUGACGAAGCGUGAGUGACGGUAAUGGGUAAGGAAGCACCGGCUAACUACGUG
rnacentral:rRNA from 1 species